rnacentral:lncRNA from 1 species
GCAUCUGACAUGCAUGCGAAGUAGAGGGUUUGCAUAUCCAGACCUCCGUGAAGAUUUAAUCCAGAUAAAUUGAGAUUUGAUCUCUGAUUUCACUGCAAAUCAGAUAAAGAUUUGAUUCUUAAUCAAGUAGAAUAGUAGAAAAAUUUUUAGAUGCAAUUUGGACAUUCCGAAGGAAAACUGUUCCCUUCCCUUCAUCCACCUCUAGCUUCUUAAGUUGGGCUGCAAUGUUCCUCAUGUGC